rnacentral:rRNA from 1 species
GACGAACCGUGCGAACGUUGUUCGGAUUCACUGGGCUUAAAGGGCGCGUAGGCGGGCGCGUAAGUCCGGGGUGAAAGCCUCCAGCUCAACUGGAGAACAGCCCUGGAUACUGCGGGCCUCGAGGGGGGUAGGGGCGGGCGGAACUUCUGGUGGAGCGGUGAAAUGCGUAGAUAUCAGGAGGAACACCGAUAGCGAAGGCAGCUCGCUGGGACGGUACUGACGCUGAGGCGCGAAAGCGUGGGGAGCGAACAGG